rnacentral:rRNA from 1 species
UAGGGAAUCUUCGGCAAUGGGGGGAACCCUGACCGAGCAACGCCGCGUGAGUGAAGAAGGUUUUCGGAUCGUAAAGCUCUGUUGUUAAGGAAGAACGAGUGUGAGAAUGGAAAGUUCAUGCUGUGACGGUACUUAACCAGAAAGGGACGGCUAACUACGUGCCAGCAGCCGCGGUAAUACGUAGGUCCCGGGCGUUGUCCGGAUUUAUUGGGCGUAAAGCGAGCGCAGGCGGUUAGAAAAGUCUGAAGUGAAAGGCAGUGGCUCAACCAUUGUAGGCUUUGGAAACUGUUUAACGUGAGUGGAGAAGGGGAGAGGGGAAUUCCAUGUGUAGCGGUGAAAUGCGUAGAUAUAUGGAGGAACACCGGUGGCGAAAGCGGCUCUCUGGUCUGUAGCUGGCGCUGAGGCUCGAAAGCGUGGGGAGCGAACAGG